rnacentral:misc_RNA from 1 species
UUUCCGUAGGUGUACCUGCGGAAGGAUCAUUAUUAAAACCCCUAUAGGGUGCCUCACAACGGUUCCUCCCUGUUCUCCGUUGGGCCACACGCUUGGUCCCUUCACGUGAUUCUAACACCUGUUCACUCUUCAGUUGUCGCCUCACCGGUAUACGUACGUCUACACACACAACAUAUUUCCAUUGAUGGCUUUCUUUUGUAACGAAUACAACUUUCAACAACCGAUCUCUUGGCUCACACGUCGAAGCAGAACGCAGGAGAUCGUAAUACCACACGCCUC